UACGGGGGGGGCAAGCGUUGUUCGGAAUUACUGGGCGUAAAGGGCUCGUAGGCGGCCAACUAAGUCAGACGUGAAAUCCCUCGGCUUAACCGGGGAACUGCGUCUGAUACUGGAUGGCUUGAGUUUGGGAGAGGGAUGCGGAAUUCCAGGUGUAGCGGUGAAAUGCGUAGAUAUCGGGAGGAACACCGGUGGCGAAGGCGGCGACCUGGGUAGAUACUGACGCUGAGGCGCGAAAGCGUGGGGAGCAAACAGG
rnacentral:rRNA from 1 species